GACCCCGACUGACAGACCGACCACCCCGCCGGGGGCAACGGGACACUGGCGUGGGGGCAAAGGGAAUGGCAGCGGGGAAAGGGUGUACCCCGCAGGGGCGCUGUGAAGUGCGCUUGUCCGCCCUGCGGAGCAGGGAGAGGGGCUGGUGUUCCCUCAGGGGUGCAUGAGGCGGGAAUGUCUGUGUCUGUGCGUAUGUCUGUCUGUGUGUGUCUGCCCUAGGAGCGGUGUGAGGCAGGAAUGGUCCCUCCCGGUAGGAGCGGUGUGGGGCGAUAAUGGACCCUCCCAUUAGGAGCGGUGUAAGGCGGGAAUGGCUCCUCCCCUCAGGGGCGUUGUGAGGCGGGAAUGGCUCCUCCCCGCAGGAGCGGCGUGAGGCGGGAAUGUCCUCUGCCCUCCCCUCAGGAGCGGUGUGAGGUGGGAAUGGUUCCUCCUCUCCCUUCUCGCGAAUGGCCCAUCACCUCCCCUCAGGAGCGGCGUGGGGCGGGAAUGGCCGUGCACUCCCGUCAGGAGCGGUGUGAGGGACUGUCCCGCAGUCUUUUGCCGUGUUCCGCCUGGCAGCGGCCCGGUUCUCCGCCGUUGUUGCCGCGAAGGGACAUCGAGGGAGGAAGAACCGAGCGGGCUCACCAUGUCCUUGCCAGCAAAGAGGUUUGGAAGGCCCUCAGUGUUGUCUUUUCUGGAAAAGAAAAAGAGAAAGCGAAGCCUUGAUAGAAGAAGGGGGAAAACAAGGAUUUAUGUGGGAGAUCACAUUGACCGGUAGCUGACGCUCAAGGAGAAGUUGGAUUUCAGAAAUUACUCAGAAGUUGCGGGGUUUUUAUUGGACAUGUAUGACAGUUACAACCUGUUGUCAAAAGCUCUGCUCUGUCCCCUCUCUGAGGGUGCGAGAAGGAUCACUGGAAGGGAAGAAAGAGCAUUGUCAGCCAGCACUCCUUUAAUAGCAGCAGAUGGAACUAGGUGAAUGAGUUGGGGUUCGGAAGGCGAUUCUAUGGCAGAGAAGAAUCCUUGGAAGCUAGGUCAGGAGUAAAUAAAUACCAGUGCUGAUGAAGCUGAAAAAUUCAGGUACAUUCUUCAAAAUAGUAUCUUUCUCUGGCACUAUAAUUUUAGUUUGGAGUGCAGCACUGACUGAAUCCUUGGGACUGAUUUGAUGCAGGUGCGACAGAGGGUUUGUGUUUAAUUGAUUGCUUACUUCAGCCUUCUGAGAUGAGAGAAAUAUUGUGAAAAAUUGUUUGGUAUGAAAACAACUUCGUUGCCCUAAAAGGUAAGGCAGUGAGGCUUUGGAACAGUCUCAUGAUAUCAAUGAAGGUUCUAAAUCCCAUCAAAUACAUAAAAUGCUGGGCAAAUGAUCAGGCAUGUGUACAGUGGUAAUUGUACAAGGCUAAGGAGCAACAGCUGCCUAAGAAUGAGGAGAGUCAAAAAUAAGAGGAGUUUAAUGAGGCAGGCAUCCUAAGGCAUACUGUGUUAUUCCAGGGAAUAUUUCUUAUCAGGAGCAGUUGUAUAGCCUCACUAUGAGGAAAAUGGUUUGUGUUUCAGUGUCUGAACCCCACAUCAGUGGUGACACUGUUGGGUUUGUCUUUGGCUCCCAGGAGAGCAGUGAGGUGGAGUGCAGAUGUCACUGAGGUUCUUAGUGGCUGUGGGAUGUCCCAAAGUCCUGUUGGUAGCUGAACUUCCAUUAUAAAGUAAGACCAAACUCAGUUGCUAACUCAGUGUUUUUAGAAAGCUGGGCAAAUAGAAAAAAAUUAGUUUUCUUCAGAAAGGAACGGUGUUUAUGUUAAUGUGUAGUUCUUUCUUGUUUUCAGAGGUGUGGUACUGCGCUUCCUAUUGAAGGGAGGUGAUGCAGGCGGGUAUUUCCUGCUUUCCAGGCUCUUGCCUGUCAUGUUUUCCUGUUGUUGUUUUGUUUGUAUUUGAAUUAAUAAUCAUAAAGCAGCUGUUGUAUUCUAGGCUUUUUACUCUUGAGUCUAAUUUUAGGUUGACUAAACACUAGCUAUUAAGGGACUGCACACAUCAAAGACAGUGGAGGAACAGCACUUAAAUUCAGCUUCGUUGGUGGCUUAAUGAUUGGUUUCUGGCUUGGUUUUGGAGCCUGAUGACAUUGGCUUUCAGCAGUUUUAGAGAAUUAAGUUGAUGAAGAAGCAGUGGGGGAGUCAAGUAGAUUCUUGCCAGGUGAAAUGCAAUGGUUUUUUGAGUUGUGACUAUUGUGAGGAGUUGGCAGGCUGAUAUAACAGGAAGGAAAGAAUGUACAGAAAUUCUGAUUUAAAGGGGCAUUAGCAGGGCAAAGCCAAAUGGAAGGGUUACCAACCCAUGUCCAGUAAGGUUUCUGAAGACAAUCAGUCCUUCUCCAGUGCUUCUUGUGUUAUUAGCUUAUAACUUUAAUAUUUGGAAUUUAACCAAGCAUAUUUAAAAUUGUUUUUCUGGUGUACAUGUAACAAUUACAAAGCUGUCAAAGCAGAUAAUAAACAAUAUUUUUUAAAAUAUAUGUCAUUUGCUCUAACAUUGAAAAGUAAUGAGCCAAAGUAGUUGAACAGGAUUUUUUGAGGAAGCUUUGGGGAAUUUGAGAUUCUUUUACUAUUGUAGUAGUUGAGUGAUAUGGAUUUAAAAAUUCCUUUACUGUGUUAAAAGACAAAUUCUCAUGAUAGAAAUGCCCAUGCCAGAGGGUUGGAACAAGAUGAUCUUUAAGGUCUCUUCCAACUCAAACCAUUCUGUGAUUCUAUGAACUUUCUUGGGAUUUGAUUAUGGACUGUAUCUUUUUUUUUUCUCA